rnacentral:lncRNA from 1 species
UUGUGGCACACAGCCGCAGCGACAAAGUUCAUGGCAUAACUUACACGAGGUUUUCCUGAUCCGUCCCAAGCCUAUAGAACUUGAAAUGUGAAUUAUUGGUUGUCUACAUAUAUACAAGUUAAUUUGUACCAUUCAGUGUGGUCGGUGACAGAUGAAUAAUGCAUUUGGUCUUGUUUGAGGUCAGGACAUUAUAUAGUCCAAUGCAUAGCACGUUUAUCUCUAUUGCUAGUAAGGUUUAUU